rnacentral:lncRNA from 1 species
AAGGACUGCCUUAAAAAAAAAACCAACAACAACAAACACCCUUCCCUUUCCUCUUAGAAUCUAUACUGUGUUUUGGUUUCAAGGCAGAAGAAAGGUAAAGUUUUCAAGGUUAUAUUUUGACCAUUUGAAACAUUUGAGCUCCAUUAGAAGAAGCAACAUGGUAGGGUGAAUGGAGGAAUAAUCAGGAAGACCUGAGUUCCAGUUCUAUUUGUGAAACUAUGGCUAAGGACCUUCAUUUCCCAGUGCUUCAGGCAACUCUUUAAGUCUCGAGUUGCAGACCAUCCCCAAUGGAACUAAUAAAAUGGUAAUUCUGAAUUCAGAACCAAAUACAUACAGUGUAAGGGCUAGACAAUGGGGGUCAAGUCACUUGCCCAGGGAUACACAGCUAGGAAGUGUCUGA